rnacentral:lncRNA from 1 species
GCCUGCCCCAGCACCAGCGAACCACUGGGGUUGUGUUCCAUACUGUGGGAGCGUUGUUCUUUCCCUCUUUGCAAUAAAUCUUGCUGCUGGUGAUUCUUUGGGUCUACACUGGCUUUGUGAGCUGUAACACUCACUGCAAAGGUCUGCAGCUUCACUCCUGACAGUGAGACCACGAACCCAUCAGAAGGAAGAAGUUCCAGACAUACUUGAAUGUCUGAAGGAACAAACUCCAGACACAUCUUUAACAACUGUAACACUCACCUCAAGAGUCCGUGGCUUCAUUCUUGAAGUCAGUGAGACCAAGAACCCACCAAUUCCGGACAUACUUCCUGCCUGUGCCAGCGUCUGGGGCUCCAGGCACCAGUGGGUUGUGGACACAUUGCUCCAGCCUCUGCCUCUGUCUUUCUCUGCCCUUCGUAAGGACAAUUGUCAUUGGAUUUAGGGCCCACGUGGAUAAUCCAGGAUGGUCUCCUCAUCUCGAAAUCAGAACUUACUGUGCAAAGACUUUUAAUCCAAGCACCGCCACAUCCAUCCACACAUUCCUGGAGUUUGGAUGGGGGCAUGUUUUCUGGGGUCACCAUCCAGCCCACGACAGACCUCUGUCACCUGCAGACACAGGCUGCCCCUGCGUGGUUGCUGGUUGUGUACGUCUCCAACAUCAUCUAUGCGCCCAGCGUCUGCUGGGUGCAGCAAACACAGGAAAGAAGGUGAGUUCUGGCUUGGCCUGGUGUCCACCACCGCAGGCCCUGGCACUGCAGGGGGCAUUGCAUGUCCACCAUGUUGCUGGCCUCCAGACCAUAUGUCUCCCUGAUUCCAGCUCUGAGGGGCUUCCUGGAGGGAGGGUCCCGAUCCUGGGAAGAUGAGGCCUCCCUUUCCCCAGCAGGACCUCGUGCGUGGGACCAGGCUGUGGCUUCCAGAGGAUCUAUCCUGGAGCGUCAGGCACAUGGAGACACCAUGGAGGGAACGGACCUGUUUAUGCUGAAGGCAGCACGUGCACAGCUUGAGCCGAUGUACCCUGGUUGGAGCAGGCCAUUUGCAGGCUUCUCAGCCUCCCUCUCCACAGCCAGUGGACAGUUUGAGCUGGACUCUGACGUCCAUGACAAGUUUGUGGCAGGGUCCUAAGGAGAGAUGAAAGGAACCAGUGAGCUGGGAAAGCUCUUCUUCCUCCCAUCCUCAUAAGGAUGUGAUGUCUGGAGCUACAGCAGCUGUCUGGUGAGCAUGAGGCAAAAAGCACAAAGAUAAAAGUCAACACAGGAGAAGGGUGGAUGGUACAUUUGUGAGAGUUGGUGUGUGGUGUCCAUCUACGGACUUCAUGCUGCCUGAAGAAAUAGUGGCUUCAUAAUUAGUUUCCUGUGACUUGGGGAUGAAUAAACUCCUAACCAGUACAGAAAAGUUUUGUGCUCAACUACAUUUACUUCUUAAAAAAAGCUUUUGUUAUAUUUACUUCGCCCUUUUGCUUUUUCUCUUUGUUACUUAGCUGCUUUAUUUUUGCAAAAACUGCUUUUUCUUCCAUUUUAU